rnacentral:rRNA from 1 species
GAGUUUGAUCCUGGCUCAGAUUGAACGCUGGCGGCAGGCCUAACACAUGCAAGUCGAGCGGUAGAGAGAAGCUUGCUUCUCUUGAGAGCGGCGGACGGGUGAGUAAUGCCUAGGAAUCUGCCUGGUAGUGGGGGAUAACGCUCGGAAACGGACGCUAAUACCGCAUACGUCCUACGGGAGAAAGCAGGGGACCUUCGGGCCUUGCGCUAUCAGAUGAGCCUAGGUCGGAUUAGCUAGUUGGUGAGGUAAUGGCUCACCAAGGCGACGAUCCGUAACUGGUCUGAGGGGAUGAUCAGUCACACUGGAACUGAGACACGGUCCAGACCCCCUACGGGAGGCAGCAGUGGGGAAUAUUGGACAAUGGGCGAAAGCCUGAUCCAGCCAUGCCGCGUGUGUGAAGAAGGUCUUCGGAUUGUAAAGCACUUUAAGUUGGGAGGAAGGCAGUAAAUUAAUACUUUGCUGUUUUGACGUUACCGACAGAAUAAGCACCGGCUAACUCUGUGCCAGCAGCCGUACGG